rnacentral:lncRNA from 1 species
GAGGCAGGAGAAUCACUUGAACCCAGGAGGUGGAGGUUGUAGUGAGCCAAGAUCACACCAUUGUACUCCAGCCUGGGCGACAGAACGAGACUCCGUCUCAAAAAAAGAAAUAAAUAAAUAAAAUAAUCAUGGAGUGUGGAGCUGGCAAAGACUUCACGGCAUGACUCAUGUAUUGAGAGUUAACUUUGACAGGAUCAGAGCAUUGCUGAAUCUUCCUCAGACACUGCCAUCGUCCGGCCUUGCCUCCAGUCCAGGCUCCAGCCAGGCCUCCUGGUGCUUUCAGGAGAGCCACACCCCUCCCCUCCUUCGACCAGGGUUGGGCUCUGGCACAUCCCCAUUCCUUUACUCUCCAUUCUCUAUCUGUGAGGAAAAUGAGAGCUUUUUAAAAAAUCAGGCCCUAAAUUUGGCAUUGUCCUGAGAUCUUUGCUAAGACUGCUGUCCUCAGAGCACCUGGAAAUGCUAAUUCACCACUGUUACGAGGAUUCACAAAUCCCAGCAUUUUUGCUUUUCUAGGGACUAUAGAUGGGGAGUGUGCUGGGGCUGGCAGAAUUAGAUCAUGAUUCAGGAGGGUAGCAUGGGGGAAAAUGUAGUCAUCAGAGCCUGUGUCUGUUACUCACUGGACAUCAAGUAGCUGGGACUACAGGCACAUGCAAUCCAGCCCAGCUAACUAUUUAAAAUUUUUUUGCGGAACAGGGUCUCACUUUGUGGGCCAGGCUGAUCUUGAACUCCUAGCCUCAAGCAACCCUCCCACUUUGGCCUCCCUUUGCCCUCAUAUCCCAGUGCUGGAGCUGGCCACUGAAGAGGGCAGGCUCGGGCUCCUGCUGCAAACGCAGGCUUUGCUGUGCAUCCUCUGGCAAGGCAGAUGCCCCUGUCCUCAAUUAUUUUAAUUAAACAUUUUUUUGCUUACCUCACAGUAAACAAAGAUCAAAUGUUAACAUUUCUAUCAGUGUUACCCCAUGUUACUCAUUAUGAACCUAACCCGGAGCAAAGGGCAUGCUAUUCCAGGCAGCCUCCUUCCUUGCGGGCCUGUGGCCACUUGGUGGGCGGACUGGCCAGUGCUUCUAGAAAGGGGAACUGACCCUGGUUAUUUCAUUCAAACUGAGGGCAGGGGGAAAAGAUUCUGUUCACCAGUCACGGAGUGGCUGUAGACCAGUUUCUCUGUUUGUAAAAACAAACGUCAUUGUCCCUCCAUAAUGCUCUGUCACCCCAGGAACCUGGGGAAACUUUUAAAUUCAAGUCUAUGGUGGAUUGCAUUUCUCAGAGACGGCGACCAUCUUUGAUUUGAUGUCUCGUAGUUUGACUUAAGUGGAAAACCACCCAGAUGGCAUCAGUUCUGUGUCCCAAGGGACAGCCUGACACAGUCCUGGAGCCAGCCUGCCUACGCUUAGGCCCUGGUGCUGCCACACACCCACCAGGGGAGCUUGGCACCCUUCCUGACUUCUCACCUCAGUGAUGAGCUUGGCCUUCUGUUGUCCAGCUGGGUCUGGGCUGUGCUGUGGGGAGGGUAGGUGGUCCCCUGGGGCCUACUUGUCCAGGCACAGACGAGAGCAUCUCUCACGACCUUUAAGGGCAAGAACAAGUGCCGCUUCUGCUUCCCACAGAACUCCUGCUCUUACCUUCCAUUUCUGCAUCUUCGCAUCUUUGAGCAAGGGACUCGCUCCCUUAAAAUAAAUAUCUUUGUCUCAUUGUCCUUUCACGAAUGGCCCCUACCUCUCUCCUGGGGAAAGUUUUACUUGAUGAAUUCCUUCUCCACCUGCCCUGCCCUCUCCCCUCAGGGUACCUGAAGGGGCUGCGAGGGAGGAUUUUGUUGUUGAGAGGACUUUAUAAAUAGAUAGAUGGGCCCAGCUAUCCCAGUUUAGCUCUGAUCAUCAAGUCCAUGCCUAAUACUCUAUGGCUUUUUCUUUUCUGCUUGGGAUGGCAUUGAUUUUUUUUUUUUUUUAAGAUGGAGUCUCACCGUCGCCUAGGCUGGAGUGCAGUGGCGCAGUCUCAGCUCACUGCAACCUCCACCUCCUGGGUUCAAGCGAUUCUCCUGCCUCAGCCUCCUGAGUAGCUGGGAUUACAGGCACGCACCACCAUACCUGGCUAAUUUUUGUAUUUUUAGUAGAGAUGGGGUUUCGCCAUGUUGGCCAGCCGGGUCUUGAUCUCCUGACCUCAGGUGAUCUACCCACCUCGGCUUCCCAGAAUGCUGGGAUUACAGGCGUGAGCCACCGCACCCGGCCAGCAUUGAUCUUUUAAGGUGGAAAUGACCUAAUUGGGAAUGGCCUCCACUGCAGAAGCACCAGGUCCUGGUGGGAGGUGCACCUGCAGAAGGCUGGCUGGGAACUUGGGCCGCUCUAUGCCAGGCUCCUGCCAUCUCCACCUUCAGCCCACUUAUUAAAUAGGUGGCCAAAGGCCUACUGCAUUACCCACUGUGUCUCAACAAUCUCUCCUGUAAAAUGGGAAUAAUAAAACCCUUCCAUGCCUGAAGGUUCUCCUGAGUUCCCUGCCAUCUCUGAGACCUGGAAUUUGAUGGAAGACUGAUAGAGGGAUUUAGAAACAACCUCAGACUUUUACAGAGAAGUUACAAGUACAGUAAACAUUCUGCACCCCAUCCCCCCACCAGAAUCAUUUGGGAAAUAAUUGCUGAAAUGGUGCCCCAGCAUCUCCAACUAUUUUGGUGUGUAUUUCCUACAAAGAAGGACAUUCUGUAGAACUACAAUACCAGUAUAAAAAACCGACAGAAAUGGUGGGCGCCUGGAGAGGACACCAUGAGGACGUAACAGCACUUCCUGCUGUUCCUCCAGAGACAAAACCUGGGGUCUCGUGCUUGGAGGCAGGUUUUAUCUUUGGUAGGAAAUUAGUGUUGCUCGAUCACCACCAGCCACUCUCAUAGCCUAUUCAAGGUUCCCCAGUCUUCUCCAUGAUGUCCUUUUUCACAACAGAAUCCAGUGUAGAAACGCAUCACCUGUAGUUUCACAUAGAUGUAUCUCCUUAGACUCCUUCAGUCUGGGAGAGGGCCCCAGUUUGUUACUAACUUGUGCAAUCUUUAUUUAUUUUAUUUUAUUUUUUGAAAUAGUCUCACUCUGUUGCCCAGGCUGGAGUGCAGUGGCGCAAUCUCAGCUCACUGCAACUGCCGCCUCCUGGGUUCAAGCAAUUCACCUG